rnacentral:rRNA from 1 species
AAAGCCCGCAAGGGUAAGUAGAGUGGCGCACGGGUGAGUAACACGUGGACAACCUGCCUUCGAGUGGGGAAUAACCUUCCGAAAGGAGGGCUAAUACCGCAUAACACCUCGGGACACAAGUUCUGGGGUUGAAAAGAGCAAUUUGCUCGAAGAGGGGUCCGCGCCUGAUUAGCUAGUUGGUGAGGUAACGGCUCACCAAGGCUUCGAUCAGUAGCCGUCCUGAGAGGGAGCACGGCCACACUGGAACUGAGACACGGUCCAGACUCCUACGGGAGGCAGCAGUGGGGAAUUUUUGGCAAUGGGCGAAAGCCUGACCAAGCAACGCCGCGUGGGUGAUGAAGUAUCUUGGUACGUAAAACCCUUUCGGCAGGGACGAACCUAACGACGGUACCUGCGGAAGAGGCCCCGGCUAACUCCGUGCCAGCAGCCGCGGUAAUACGGGGGGGGCAAGCGUUGUUCGGAAUUACUGGGCGUAAAGGGCGCGUAGGCGGUUGGAUAAGUCAGCUGUGAAACCACGGGCUUAACUCGUGGCCUGCAGUUGAGACUGUCUGGCUUGAGUGUGGGAGAGGAGAGUGGAAUUCCUGGUGUAGCGGUGAAAUGCGUAGAUAUCAGGAGGAACACCUGUGGCGAAGGCGGCUCUCUGGACCACAACUGACGCUGAGGCGCGAAAGCUAGGGGAGCAAACAGGAUUAGAUACCCUGGUAGUCCUAGCUGUAAACGAUGGAUACUUGCUGUGGGGGGGUGUUAAUUCCCCCUGUGGCGGAACCUAACGCAUUAAAU